AACGAACGCUGGCGGCAUGCCUAACACAUGCAAGUCGAACGAGACCUUCGGGUCUAGUGGCGCACGGGUGCGUAACGCGUGGGAAUCUGCCCUGGGGUGCGGAAUAACUCGGAGAAAUCCGUGCUAAUACCGCAUAAUGUCUUCGGACCAAAGAUUUAUCGCCCUGGGAUGAGCCCGCGUAGGAUUAGCUAGUUGGUGGGGUAAAGGCCUACCAAGGCGACGAUCCUUAGCUGGUCUGAGAGGAUGAUCAGCCACACUGGGACUGAGACACGGCCCAGACUCCUACGGGAGGCAGCAGUGGGGAAUAUUGGACAAUGGGCGAAAGCCUGAUCCAGCAAUGCCGCGUGAGUGAUGAAGGCCCUAGGGUUGUAAAGCUCUUUUACCCGGGAUGAUAAUGACAGUACCGGGAGAUAAGCUCCGGCUAACUCCGUGCCAGCAGCCGCGGUAAU
rnacentral:rRNA from 1 species